AACAUUUGCACGUAUAAAAGGCGAGAAAUUCUCUCAAAAAUAUUCUUCUCCGCACAUUUAAAAGUGUCAACAUUUUUUACCAAAAACAGAAAUUUCUGUUUGGGUUCUAAGGCUUUAUUCAAAAUGAAGGUUGCUGUUUUCUUUUUAAUGGGUGCUAGUUUCCUGACACUUUGUCAUGGACAGAUACUGAGUGCAAUGUCUGAAAUGUCUGGCGGUCCCAUGAUGGCCCCCAUCACACCAAUGAUUGGUAAUCCCAUGAGUCGACUGCUUAUGCCAAUGGUGCUGAGUGGAAGUUCUGAAAUGAGAAAAGUAAUGAUAAUGUCGAUGUUGGGACAGUCUCGGAGACUACGCGGAUUACUUCCGUUCAUUGCUUUGAACGGUGGGAUGCCUGAUGGAUUUGCUCCGUUAGCUAUGAUGAUGAGUCAGGGCGGGCAUCUUAAUCCAAUGGCGAUGUCAGUAAUGAUUGGUGGUAAUGAUGCAUUAAAGAAGAUGAUACCAUUUAUAUUGAUUCAACAACAAGCUCGAGCAGCGGCAGCAGCUCGUGCUGCACAAUUAGCUGCUGCGUCUGGGCCAAUGGCCGGUAGUGCGGGGGAAACAGCAGGACAAAUGUAAUGAAACCUCAAAAUCUGAACGCAAGCAGAAAGUGUAUGUCAAUAUUUAUACUUAUUUCUUUCGUCAGUGAUUGUACAUCCCCCGGAUUGAUUUGGUAUAUACUAAAAACAACAACCAAGAUCCUUAGUCUAUUAAACCUUAUUUUUAAAGUAUUUCGGGAAUUCCAGUCAUUCUCAAUGUAGUUCUAGGAUAAGGGCUGGUGUGGACAUCUGGGAGGAGGCUUUUGAUCUGUGAUAUCAUCCGGGUGGAACUGGCGUCAUACCUCAAUUUUGGGGGUCAUUUUACACCAAAAGUGUAUACGCCAAUAGUGUAUGGCCCCAGCCCUGCCUACGGCCACAAUAUUCCAUUCUACCAAUAUACCUCUAUAUUUACGCUUAUGACACAGUAUUAUUAUAUACUUCAUCACAAGCUUGUAAUCAAAUAAU